AACGAACGCUGGCGGCAGGCCUAACACAUGCAAGUCGAACGCAUCCUUCGGGGUGAGUGGCGCACGGGUGAGUAACACGUGGGAAUGUAUCCUUUGGUUCGGAAUAACGUCUGGAAACGGACGCUAAUACCGGAUGAGCCCUUAGGGGGAAAGAUUUAUCGCCGAAGGAGCAGCCCGCGUCUGAUUAGGUAGUUGGUGGGGUAAAGGCCUACCAAGCCGACGAUCAGUAGCUGGUCUGAGAGGAUGAUCAGCCACACUGGGACUGAGACACGGCCCAGACUCCUACGGGAGGCAGCAGUGGGGAAUAUUGGACAAUGGGCGCAAGCCUGAUCCAGCCAUGCCGCGUGAGUGAUGAAGGCCUUCGGGUUGUAAAGCUCUUUCGCACACGACGAUGAUGACGGUAGUGUGAGAAGAAGCCCCGGCUAACUUCGUGCCAGCCGCCGCUGUAAUAC
rnacentral:rRNA from 1 species